rnacentral:rRNA from 1 species
UACGUAGGGUGCAAGCGUUGUCCGGAAUUAUUGGGCGUAAAGAGCUCGUAGGCGGCUUGUCACGUCGACUGUGAAAACCCGGGGCUCAACUCCGGGCCUGCAGUCGAUACGGGCUGGCUUGAGUGCGGUAGGGGAGACUGGAAUUCCUGGUGUAGCGGUGAAAUGCGUAGAUAUCUGGAGGAACACCGGUGGCGAAGGCGGCAUUCUGGACCGACAUUGACGCUGAGGAGCGAAAGCCAGGGGAGCAAACGGG